rnacentral:lncRNA from 1 species
UUUGAUUCUUUGCUGCUUGCUUCUGAGCUUUAUUCUUUUCCCUUCUGAUAUAGAGGCUCAGCAUAUACAAGUUCAAUAUUCUUUUCUCUCCAAGUAUUUAGCACUCAUUCUUCCAUAGCCUUGAGAGUCGCACUUCCAAAUCACUGAAAGCACAAUCUUUUAGCUUCUUCACUUGUUCCAGUUCCCCAAGCUGAAUAAACAACUUUUCUAAAAUUUCUUCUGUUAAAUUAUUUUCAAGGUAGUAUAAAAUAGCACUUUUACCUGUGCCAUAACUUCAGGAUCAGGAUCUUCAAAAGAAACAACCAAUUCAACAAUAUCAACAUCAUCCCAGACUUUGAUUUUAUCACUCAUUAACCAACACCUUAACUUGGCAGCUGUUUUGUGAUCUUUAUAUUGAAGGACGCAAAAGCCUCUUUUUCUUUCUUUCUUUUUUUUCUUAUCAUCUAGUUGGGAGUAUAAAAUGAGGGCCGUGAGACCUUGAGUUGCUUUACUAAGUUCUUCAAGAAUAUGUCUUGUUUUUACUCUUAAAAACAGAGCCCCCGCCUCCCUGUUGUUGACAACUGAGAUGCAGACACCAAUGUGCUUUCCAGAAUGAAUUUUAUGAUUAUUAUAUAGUUUAACAGCCUCUUCUGUUUCUUCUUUUGUAUAAAAAGUAACAAAGACACACCCUCCAAUGAGCCCAGUGAGGGGAUCCACCAUUUAAUGAAGAUCUCAUAUAGGUCCAGCUUUCUAAAAUAAUGCAACAGGCCCAUCCUCAAACAGAUCUCUAGGAAUCUUCCCCACAAAUACCUCAGUGCCAACAGAAAGCUGCUGACCUGAAUAAACUGAAUCUGAUGGUGGUCCCUCAUACUUCCUCUGUCCUGUAGUCACAUCAAGUGUGAAGCCUGUUCUUCACAAGAGUAACUUAAUCUUUGUCUCAUCUGGUCCUUUACUAGAGUCCACUAGCUUGGUCUCUGUUUCUCUCACCACUUACAAGUUUUCAUGACUUCACAUAAAAAGGGCACUUUUGUUCGGAUCAUGAGAAAGAUCACUGUCUUUAAAGUGUUGAAGCACUGUUAUUGCACUAUCUCCACCGAACUAUUUUAAAGCUUUGAUAGCUCUUUCAUUUAAAUCAUGUGCAACUAGCUUAUCAGUGUAAAAUUCAUCUAGAUUUCCAACAACUUUUUGUGGUUAACAAGCAUCAAGAAGUGUCUGAAAAUUUUAUAAAUGGAUAAAUAGUAUCCAUGGGCUCCUCAGUAUGAGUUCCAUUAACAUGUUCUGUAGUCAUGUUUCUAGGGUUUUUGCAGGCUGUGGUCUAGGAGUCCCAUCCUAUGGUGUUGGGUGGUGGGGAAACAUGCUCACUGCUCCCUGUCUCUAGGACAAGUGGGGGUGUUGUAAAAUGGGAGCAGAAGCUCAUACUGUUGGUAGUAAACUCCUCAUGCAAUCUCUUAUCUGCCCCUGGACUUGUGAAGAUUCUAGGCCCCAGUAUAGGGGAAUGCCAGGGCCAGGAAGUGGGAGUGAGUGGUUUGGGGAACUGGGGGAAUGGAAAUGGUAUAGGGCAUUUUUGGAGAAGAAUCUAGGAAAGGAGAUAACAUUUGAAAUGUAAAUGAAGAAAACAUCU